CAUUUGCAUGUUUUUUUUAGAGAGCUUCAAGAAGUACUUCAGUUUCAGAUUUUAAAAACCUCUCUUUUAUUAAUUUCACAUACUAUUUUUUUGUAACUUCUGUUGACAUCUUAGGGAAUUUAAUUUGGGAAAUAGUACUCUAGGCAAAGGAAAACCCAUUGCUUCUCAGCACCCUCUGCAAGUCUUGCAGCUCCUCAUCCAGGUAGGAUGGCCAUGAGCUGACAAUGGCACCUGGAAGGAUAUUGUGAAACACUGGACUGACAGGAAGUUUGGAAAGCCCUGAGUAGCUGAGAUGGAGGAAGUGAGUGAAGGUAGUAGCAAAGAAAUGUGAAGUAUGGCUUGGGUCAUUGCCGACAGUUGCAUUCACAGCCAGUGAAAAUCGAAGAACAUACAAGCAUACAAGUUAAGCAGGGAGGAAGCACAGAAAUCACCAGAUGCAACGACCUCAAUCUGGCAAUGAAGAAAUGGAGAAAGACCCAGAGGCACUGGGCAACCUGGCAACCAAUUCAUUACCGUUGGCUUAUUGAACCAGGUACAUUUGAUAAGGAACAAUAACAAGGUUUCGUUUCUUUGUGUGUUGUCAUUUCCUUGUGUGUUGUCAUUUUUACUGUUUUGGCACUACCUCAAUCUGUUCUGUUGCAUCUCCCUGGUUUUCCCCUUAACAGCAUCUCAAGCAGAUACUAAAGAUGUUUAGUCAUUUUCACCUAUAAGAACAGUUCCAUGUUCAGGUAUCAGAAAAUCUAAUCUUGCUAUAUCAACCCUUUCAUCUCAAUGUUCUUUGGAAGCUCCCCCUCUCCUAUUUCUCAGCUCUGGAACCAGCAGCGGGGAGCAGGGGUGAGGGACAUGCCUGGUUCCACCUCCUUCCUUGCUCCAUAUCUCCCUCCACUACACCUGCUCCUUUGGGUUCCUUCAGUGUCCAGACAAGAGAAGAGUGAAAGAUAAGAGGAAAUACACAAAAAGUGUUUUUACUUAGCUUAAGUAUUCGAAGCCCUCUCUGGACUAUCAAAUGCUCUGUGAUGGCAGGCAUGCAAGGCUAGCUCUUUCCUGUGGGGGUCUUUGUGGGGCACUGAACAUCCUCAGCCUACACCACAGAGCAAGUUCACCAGGCACUGAGUCAGUUCCUACUUAGGGUUCCUCAUCUUCAAGUUAGACUGUGGGACCACACCUC